rnacentral:rRNA from 1 species
AUUGAACGCUGGCGGCAUGCCUUACACAUGCAAGUCGAACGGUGACAGGUCUUCGGAUGCUGACGAGUGGCGAACGGGUGAGUAAUACAUCGGAACGUGCCCGAGAGUGGGGGAUAACGAGGCGAAAGCUUUGCUAAUACCGCAUACGAUCUCAGGAUGAAAGCAGGGGACCGCAAGGCCUUGCGCUCACGGAGCGGCCGAUGGCAGAUUAGGUAGUUGGUGGGAUAAAAGCUUACCAAGCCGACGAUCUGUAGCUGGUCUGAGAGGACGACCAGCCACACUGGGACUGAGACACGGCCCAGACUCCUACGGGAGGCAGCAGUGGGGAAUUUUGGACAAUGGGCGCAAGCCUGAUCCAGCCAUGCCGCGUGCAGGAUGAGGGCCUUCGGGUUGUAAACUGCUUUUGUACGGAACGAAAAGACUCCUUCUAAUAAAGGGGGUUCAUGACGGUACCGUAAGAAUAAGCACCGGCUAACUACGUGCCAGCCGCCGCCGUAAAAC